UGGCUGAGUGGUAAAGCGCUUGGCUUUCGAACCAAGGGUUCCUGGUUCGAAUCCUUG
rnacentral:tRNA from 1 species